rnacentral:tRNA from 1 species
GCCCUCGUAGCUCAGUGGAUAGAGCAUCGGCCUCCGGAGCCGGGAGCACAGGUUCGAGUCCUGUCGAGGGCG